rnacentral:rRNA from 1 species
AGAGCGAACGCUGGCGGCAGGCCUAACACAUGCAAGUCGAACGGACCCUUCGGGGUUAGUGGCGGGCGGGUGAGUAACACGUGGGAACGUGCCUUUUGGUUCGGAAUAGCUCCUGGAAACGGGUGGUAAUGCCGAAUGUGCCCUUCGGGGGAAAGAUUUAUCGCCAUUAGAGCGGCCCGCGUCUGAUUAGCUAGUUGGUGAGGUAAUGGCUCACCAAGGCGACGAUCAGUAGCUGGUCUGAGAGGAUGACCAGCCACAUUGGGACUGAGACACGGCCAAACUCCGUACGGGAGGCAGCAGUGGGGAAUCUUGCGCAAUGGGCGAAAGCCUGACGCAGCCAUCGCCGCGUGAAUGAUGGAAGGUCUUAGGAUUGUAAAAUUCUUUACACGGGGACAUAAUGGACGGUACCCGGAGAACGAAGCCCGACUAAC